AAUCAGAAAUCGUUUGAUUCUCGGGAGAGGAAGACCCUUCCACAUUUGGUCUUAACUCGGAGUGUGAGGGUGUGGUUCUCGUAGGCCAUUACUUUGGGUGUAUGUUGCAGGCUGUGUAGUGCAGGCACAGCGGAGUCUUAAUCCCCAUCGUUGGCAGGCUGGAUCCAGGCAGCACAGGCCAGGUAAAGCCACCACAUCUGCCCUCAUCUCACCAGGCACGACUGUUCCAAAGAACUGGACGAGCUGGGCUCGUACUUCAUCCUUGAACUCAGAGUUCGUGACUUGUGAUUCAUCGUAGCAAUCUUGUGGCUCUCAGCCCUCAUCAUUUCGUCCGCGAUUCUGGACUGGCUUUUCGUCGAGAGUUCGCUCGCUUUACUUCGCGUCGUCGUCGAAGCCACCGCAGCUCGCUGAUCGCUCUUAGACGACUAUAUUCAUCGGACCAACGAUAGUCAUUGACGAUGUCGAAGGGGUCCUUAUUCUGAACUAUUUAAAUUAUAACCAGAUUAGAUAUACUACGGUCCAGUGUAGGUAUUCAUCCAAGUAUAAACCCUCUUUUGAUGAAACUUAAUU